rnacentral:rRNA from 1 species
AUUGAACGCUGGCGGCAGGCCUAACACAUGCAAGUCGAGCGGAUGAAGGGAGCUUGCUCCUGGAUUCAGCGGCGGACGGGUGAGUAAUGCCUAUGAAUCUGCCUGGUAGUGGGGGAUAACGUCCGGAAACGGGCGCUAAUACCGCAUACGCCCUGAGGGAGAAAGUGGGGGAUCUUCGGACCUCACGCUAUCAGAUGAGCCUAGGUCGGAUUAGCUAGUUGGUGGGGUAAAGGCCUACCAAGGCGACGAUCCGUAACUGGUCUGGGAGGAUGAUCAGUCACACUGGAACUGAGACACGGUCCAGACUCCUACGGGAGGCAGCAGUGGGGAAUAUUGGACAAUGGGCGAAAGCCUGAUCCAGCCAUGCCGCGUGUGUGAAGAAGGUCUUCGGAUUGUAAAGCACUUUAAGUUGGGAGGAAGAGCAGUAAGUUAAUACCUUGCUGUUUUGACGUUACCAAAAGAAUAAGCACCGGCUAACUUCGUG